GUCCGCUUGACCUAGUGGUAUGGUGUCAGACUUCUACUUCGGUAUUCGUGUGAAUCUGGACGUCACGGGUUCGAUCCCCGUAGUGGAUU